UACAGAAGGCCCGAGCGUUAAUCGGAAUCACUGGGCUUAAAGGGUGCGCAGGCGGAUCGAAAGGCAUCUUGUGAAAUCCCAUGGCUUAACCAUGGAAUUGCUGGGUGAACCAUCGAUCUUGAGGCGGGUAGGGGUCAGUGGAACUAUGGGUGGAGCGGUGAAAUGCGUAGAUAUCCAUGGGAACGCCAAUGGCGAAGGCAGCUGACUGGGCCCGUCCUGACGCUGAGGCACGAAAGCGUGGGUAGCGAACAGG
rnacentral:rRNA from 1 species